GAGCGCUGGGCACGUGGUCUGCUCCGCCCCCACCCCACCCUAAGGGGAAACUGAGGCCCGAGGGGGCGGGGAGCGCCGCAUGUCGACUUCUCGGCCCUCGUGUCUUCGACAAAGAGGCCUCGGGUCACCGCGCCACCGGCCGGCGCCGUCUCGGAGCCUCACCCGCCCCGUGGGGAGACUUGUGCCCGCUGAUGUCGAGAGACCGGUCGGGUGACGCGUGGGCCCGAGGUCUCGCAGGGGGUCGUGCAGAGCCCGUGUGAACCUGGCCCGAGGGGCGCCAGAGCCCCUGAUUCACUGCCCAUCACCUCCGACUCCAGCGUUUCACGCCCCAAAGCCGCUCGUCGGUUACCGGCCAAAUACUCUGGUGACCGUUAGCCCAUUUCCCCUUAAUAAGCUUUAAGGGAAAGUGUUGAAACCUCCAUUUUCCAAACGGGUGUUUGAGCUCUAAAGUGAGGGCGCCCCAGGGCCCCCGAGGGGCAGAGUCUGGCUUCCUGUCCCUGCUUCGCACCGAAGCCCUUCCGCACCCGUUCCCUGGCCGGGCCCUGCGCCUCUGCCAGCGCCCCCUCCUCUCCUGCAGGACCCUGAGCGCACUGCCUCUGCGCCCCACUGUGUCCAGGGGCUGAGCUGUCCCUUGGGCACGUGCUGCUCCUGAGGGCCUUGAACUGGGGGCCGUGGCCUUCCUGCCCCGCCGCAGAGGGGGUGGUCCCUGGGCUUAGGGGGUUCUGGGAACUGUCUUGCAAAGUCUUGUGCAGGAGGCUGGGGCUGGGUUUGGGGGCCAGAAAGGCCUGAGUUCAGAUGCUGACGCAGCCCCUCGUUAGCCGUGGAACCUCGGAUGACCUGCAGACCCCUUCCUAGGGCCAAAUCGUCCUUGUUCCUGAUACCGUAGUGUGGCCGUUCAGGUCCUGCAGUAACAGCCUGCCUUCGUGGGUGCUAGAAACUGCCAGCUGCUGUGCCAAGUGUUCCGUGUGUUCCCCAGGGCCUGCUGUGAGUGCCCGUUCACCGAUUUUCCUUUGCAGCUGGGUCUGUGUGCACAGAGGCUCCACAGGAGGCGUCAUCUUCGUGUCAGCCAGGCGCUAGGCCCUGGGGCCCCAGGAGCCACCAGUAGUGUCGAAUAUGUGGAGAAAGAAAAAUAAAGGUGGGCCAGAUGUAGGAGCAAAGAGGGGUCCUACCAACUCCGAAUCAUUCAGAAAGGUUCCAUUCAUCACGGUCUGCCAGAAGCCCGAGGAGUUUUCUUGUCAGUCACUGGAUGUUGUGUGGCAAGAGGUGUCUCCCGCCAUGUAGUCAGCCGUCAGCAGGGGCUGCCCUUCUGCCUUUCUGCGCUGCAGAUGUGUUGGGUGGAGGCCGCAACCCUGCACCGGCGCCUUCGCUUAGUAGACUCUGCAGGGGCAACGUGGUGCUCCCAAGAGGCGUGUCUGGCUCCCAGACAACAGGUCAGCGUUAGAUCUGGAGAUCGUUGAGGAAGUCCCAGGGCCAUGAGUCAGUGACUUUGGGGUGACUUGGGAUCUGGCAUUGCCGGUAUUUCUCCCCAAGAUUCCUUUUGUUCGUGGACACCAGCGGGGCAGAGAAUGGAGAGUGCAGUCCACACGUGAAGAGCUCCCCGCCGCCUGCUCGGAGUGUCAUGGGAGAACUGUUCACUCAGCACGAGAAAUCAGGGCAAAGCGCUGGGACUGGGGGCUUGGGGUCCCCUUCAGCUGGCUCUGAGUCCCGACAGCAGUGCGCUUGGACACCGUGGACGGGGAAGGCCGGCCCCCGUCCCUCUGCCGUGCCUGCGUGGCUUCAGUGACCGAGAGUUUGUCUCUUGAGUUGGCAGCUGCUCAUCAUCAUCACUUUUCUCUCCACACAUCCGUUCAAUAAACUGUAUGCACCCCCA